GAUGAACGCUGGCGGCGUGCCUAAUACAUGCAAGUCGAGCGAAUGGAUUAAGAGCUUGCUCUUAUGAAGUUAGCGGCGGACGGGUGAGUAACACGUGGGUAACCUGCCCAUAAGACUGGGAUAACUCCGGGAAACCGGGGCUAAUACCGGAUAACAUUUUGAACCGCAUGGUUCGAAAUUGAAAGGCGGCUUCGGCUGUCACUUAUGGAUGGACCCGCGUCGCAUUAGCUAGUUGGUGAGGUAACGGCUCACCAAGGCAACGAUGCGUAGCCGACCUGAGAGGGUGCUCGGCCACACUGGGACUGAGACACGGCCCCGACUCCUACGGGAGGCAGCAGUAGGGAAUCUUCCGCAAUGGACGAAAGUCUGACGGAGCAACGCCGCGUGAGUGAUGAAGGCUUUCGGGUCGUAAAACUCUGUUGUUAGGGAAGAACAAGUGCUAGAUGAAUAAGCUGGCACCUUGACGGUACCUAACCAGAAAGCCACGGCUAACUACGUGCCAGCCGCCGCGGUAA
rnacentral:rRNA from 1 species